AUGGCUGGAGGGGCGUUAGGCUUCUGGAAUGACUGGGCGUCCCAGAUCUCGGUUCUCUUGAGCCUCUUCUUCCAGGUGUUACUCCAUAUAUUUGCUAACAUCCGUCGGCGUAAAGACGGCUCAUCUUGGCUGAGGGUCCCCCUCUGGGUGGCGUACCAGCUGUCUGACUCCACUGCGACAUACGCCGCCGGCCAGCUCCUCUACAGCGGCGCAACAAAAGACCACCACCUCAUUGCCUUCUGGGUGCGGUUCCUCCUGUUGCACCUCGGCGGCCCGGAUAACAUCACCGCCUACGCCCUCGAGGAUAGCAAGCUUUGGGGGCGCCACUUGCUAAGCCUUGUGGUGCAGGUCCUGGCAGCUGCAAUUGUCCUAUACAGGCAUAUCGUCGGCGGCGGGACCUUGCUCAUGGUGGCUGCCAUCUUGAUAUCUGUUGUUGGUGUUGCAAAGUAUGCGGAGAGGACAUGGGCGCUCCGGUCCGCCAAGUUCAGCAACCUCCAGAGCUCUCUCAAGUUACGGACACAUGACAUGCAUCACCAGCAAUUUUAUACUGAGCAUCAAGACUGGUACAACGAUGGCGACCCAGUCCUGCAGCAUGCUCACUCCCUGUUUCAUAUCUGCAAGCGUGGGAUAGUUGAUUGCGUGAUCGCAGUGGAUGAAUCAGAUAGCGAGAAUGAGGUGGAUUCUCAGGACAUCAAAAUAAUCCACGGCCUUUUGAAAGACCGUGAACAAAUGUGGAGGGUGAUGGAGAUGGAGCUCUCCCUCAUGUAUGAUAUCCUGUACACUAAGGCAAGUGCGGUCCACUGUUUGUUUGGCUACUGCAUCCGUGUCAUCGCACCACUUGCCAUUGCCACCUCUCUCGUGUUGUUCCAGUUGAGCAGCAAAGAUGAUUACAGCCUAGUCGAUGUUGUCAUCACGUACAUCUUGUUGGGUGGCGCCUUGGUCCUGGAGACGAAAUCGCUCCUUGUCGCACUAGGGUCAAGCUGGGUGUUUGCCUUCUUGUGUGCCACACAAUGGGAUUGGCUCCGGCAUUCUGCUCUGUGCGCUGGAAGAUGGCAGCAGCUUCGGCACACACUUUUUUCUCUCCGCCGGUCCUGGCCUGGCAAGAUGAUCAUGACAGGAAGUUCGAGGAGGUGGUCAGGCACCAUGGGGCAGCGCAACAUGUUAAGGUCUUGUGCCAGACAGGCGGAUCCGACGAGUCAACACCUCAGCAAUCUGUCCAAGAUGCUGAGCCUUGGUAAGUGGUGGGACAGGAGGUACUUGUGGACCAUCGAUGUCUCUGAAAAGGUCAAGAAGUGUGCACAGAGUGUCACAGCAAAAGAUAUGAACACAAUGGGCUUGCUCAGGACUAGAUGGGGUGAACGGGCACUGAAUGAGGAGGACUACCCUGGGCUGUUGAAGGAGUUGGAGGGUUAUCAUGGAGUUGACUUCCAUGAGAGUGUCAUCAGCUCAUUUCAUCUUCGGUGCCAUUGCAGGACAUCAUUUGAGUUCCUAGCCGUGAACGAACUGAAUGCGUCCGGUUUUGCGUGA
rnacentral:rRNA from 1 species